CUUCGACCUCCAAGGAAAACGUUCUUGACAUAGUUGACCUUUGAUGGGGCGUAAUGGUGUGAGGUCCUGACGGACUGAAGAGUUCCAGGUUCCUGAUCCGAAAAUGAGGACAUCCCAUGAGUGAGCAAGGGGAUAAAAUGGCUUUUUUGACGGUAAAGGUUGCCGACCCCUGCUCAACAGUAGAAUCAAAGCAGACAGCAUGGAGUUAGAAACAACCCAGUGAAUCAUAAAAGAGGGGAGGAGGAAGUAUCCUAAUAUGUCUUUACAUCAUUCAUGGAGGUUAUUGCAAACGCAUAAAAACCACCACUGCAGGAAAUGACUUGACAACUGUUAUAAAAGUCGGUUAAAUCUCAUUUUCCGUCCCCUUGCGAUACAUGUUGAAACGACGAUUGCGCUCUUCUCUUUGUGUUUUUUUUUUCUAGCGGAUGAACUAUGAUAUUGGCCACAGCUUUAGCAUCCAGUACGAAAUAGUGAAAUAAAGGCAUUUUUGCUGAUAUUUAGCAACGUUGAUUCCCACAAAUUGCUUCUUCGUGCAACAUUUGUGGUACCUUUGUAGCAGGCGUCCCACGUCCAGAUGGGUUGGCCGAUAAAAGACCUGUAAAUCUGGUGACAAUACAUCAAAUGGGGCCUCCAUGUGGUCAAGAAGCUGCUGGCUUAGCCUCAGUGCCUUUUAUCCACAUUGUAAGCCACUUUCCACAUAAUUGUCUACUCCUUUUUUUUUUUAAAUACUCACCCUACAGAUGACCUACCGGACGUUUUCCUUAGUUGAUGUGUCUUUUUGUGAGAGAGUUAUCGUCUCAACUCAUGCACCUCCCCUUCAGUCACGUCCCAAUUAUUCCUGCAAGCCAUCCAAAUGUCAAAAGUCUCUCCUUUCACAAGUCUUUUUUUUGUGCUGUGAAUUUGGUAAUGAGCACCUGUGGGAUGUCAGUGUGAUCAGAGGGGAGCGGGAUAAACGAGCUCGCGUCGCUCUGACAGAGAUUUUUGCUCAAUAAGACCCCCGAAUCAGACGCUAUAGUGUCUGACCGACGGUACGCACCUUCUCACAGACUCAAGAGUGGCAUUCCCACAACCGCUAAGCUACAACCGAUGCUAGGAUACAAUUGAUGAAUGCACAAUAUGUUGCAUUUUGAACCUGAUGAAUUAUAAUUUGGAUAUGUGAACAUCACCCUGCUACUGCUACUGCUACUGACUUUAUCUCCAAGGCCUCUAACAUGUCAUGUCCAUCUGAUGUUAAUGAUCCUAUCCAUCCUGGUCACUCCCAAUGAGAACCUCAGCAUCCUCAUCUCUGCUACCUCUGUCUGACAUGUCCCAACCAUCUCGGUCUGGCCUCUCUGACUUUAUCUCCAAGGCCUCUAACAUGUCAUGUCCAUCUGAUGUACUUGUUAAUGAUCCUAUCCAUCCUGGUCACUCCCAAUGAUCAGCAUCCUCAUCUCUGCUACCUCUGGU